GAUUUCUCAUCUCUCCGUCUUUCUUUGUUUAUUUUGAUCUGUUGCAAGUUGUUUAUUAAUCUGCUGUAUAGAACCGUCAUCACCAUCUUAGGGAUUCCGACGAAGUUGAAAGAGUUGAUGGUGACUGGAUUUCUUAAAUCUUGAUUCUCAUAUCUAUGUCCUGCGCAUACACUGUUUUUCAUCUUUGCUAAUUCUGCUAUUCGAUUUCUUUAACAGGUAACAUUUUAAUAAGCUGCACACUGGAUCGUCCAUGUCUCAAAUUUUUGAGAUUACUUUGUUAUUCAUCCAUGUUUUGUAUGAAUCUGAUCCCAAUCCUAAAUGAUGCUGGGUAACAUAAAUUAGCCAGGAUUGAGAAAAAAUUCAACAAUAAUGUGUAAUUUUUGAUGAAGAAAUACCCUGUAUUUGUAAAGCGAGACCAUGGAUUGGGAGGCGAACACAGUAGGUCGAAAAAGAAGAAGGUUGGGGAGGGUUCGAAAACUGAAAGAGAUGCCAGCCGUUGUGGCGCCGAUUUAGAGAUUCCAUCAGGAUGCAUUAUUCAUAUCCUAGAAGGAAGCAUGAAUCAUUUGAGUGGUAUGGUAAACACUUGACAACCAUGGCUAGGGAAGGGAAGGGAAAUUGGCUCUGUCAUAGGACAAGAUGAUGAGAUACGGAGAUGCAUCUAGAUUUUCUCAAGUAGAACUAAGAGCAACAUUAUCCUCAUUUGUGAACCAGGUGUUGGAAAGCCUGCAAUUCCCGACGGUGGCGGGAACUAUGGUAGUAAGCUCAAGUAAGAAAUAUAAGUCAAGAAAAAGAUGUCAAUAGAUGUAUUGCGUAUUUGCGUGGGUUAGGCUGCAAUCUAGGAACUUGAGCGCUCGUGGCAUUGGAUUGUUUUACAAUGAACUAAUGAAAGGUGUGCCUGGAAUAUUUGGACACUUUCUGACUACUCUGCCAGCUGUUCAUUCAAUGAUCAUUUCUUUGUGCAUAAAGUACACCCAUGUUCCCAUUGUGUCUCAGAUCAAGAGGAUUUUGUUCAGGCGAGUCUGCUUAAAAAGUUACCACAUAUUUCAUUUCAUUAUCAGGUAAAAAUGUUUCUCAAGAUAUUAUUCCUGUAUGCAGCCUUCCUUUUUUCUGAAUGUUUUUGCUUAAAGUUGGCAAGAUAGGAAGGGUUGGGUAACAUGUUGAAAUGUGUUUGGGUUGGUUGGACUACCCACAAAAGACUUUUUUUUCUUUUAUUAAAUUUUGUAGUAAAGGAUUAAUGCAUUAAAUAUGUUUACAAUUGAGCUGGAGGUGGCAGUUUCAGCCGUCAUUUGUGAAUUGGCUGGGUCAAAUUCUAGAUUCUUAGCUAAAAAGGCAAAUGGGUCAAAGUAUGGGUUAAUUCGGGUCUCCUAACUACAAGCAUGUAAAGAACAAGAUUUAGAUUAAAAAGAAGCAGGUUAAACGAGUCAAAAGUUGCACAAUGUGUGUUUUAAAUUCAUGAGACUUCCUAAUUCAUUAGCGAUACACAUGGUUCAGGCUGCAUAUGGUAGAGUACGGGUCACAUGGUUCAGGCUGCAUAUCAGUGGCGGAUCCAGGAUUUUUUUUAUGGUGUGCGGAAAUUUAUAUAGGUCGUUUGUCUUGAUAUAUAAUAAUUUUUCGGUCCGGUUCGAAUCGGAUUGGGUGAUAAAAUCAAUAAAAGUACGGCAAACGUUAAGUUGAUCACAUCUAUUAUCUAUUUCUAUUAUCUAUAAUAAAUGAAUAUAUUUGGGCUGAGUUGGCAUGAUAAUAGAGCCUCUUAGAAUGCUUUUUGGCGGGAAAAUGGGACGGUGCUCGCGGAUCAUUUGUUAAUUCUCUUAGAUCCGAACGUUUUCUAUUUACAAUUUAUAGAAAUGCCUGUGAUUUCUUGAACUCUGGCUACCGUAAAAAAGACUUCAAGGAUUGCAGUGAUCGCCGCCCACAGAAUCGUUCGAGUUAUCGAUUACGAUGUUGAUGAAUUUUAGGCCACCUGCGACCCAGGUAUGUCUUAUGUUUGUGUUCAUAUGCAACCAGGUUUUAUAAUUUUACUUUUGGUUGAAUUUGAGUAAUUUUGAGACUUUUUCUAUGUUAUUUAUUUGAUGCUCUAAAGUGAUAGGUUUGAUGCAACAUAAAAUACGAGCCUGUUAGGUCUUUGAGUUGGCAGGUGUGGUAAGUAUUGGUUCUAAUUCUCCCUAAAUUAUGUUUUCUUUUUAUAAUUAUAGGAAUUAAGUUGUAUGAACUUCACAUGGUUCGAUGUAACUACUGACUAUUGAUCAAUUAUAUCUUAUAAACAAUUCGAAUGCUGGUAGCUGCUACCUGCUGGUGUGAUUAAGGAUUCUUUGUCAGGUCCUAGACAUGUUUUGGGUGGAGACAUUGCUCGUAUGAUACAAAUAUAAUAUAGCCUUUUUAAUUUAAAAAAAGGAUACCAAGUUUCAAACUUUAAGGACUUAAUAGUUAACUUAUAUUUUGGUAAAAGUUGGUUUGUUGUAUUUAACAUAAAUUUUAUAAGUUUCAUGUUACUAUGGAAUGUUUAUUCAUUUUAUUUGCAGGGGGCAGGUCUACUUGGACAACUGGUGUAUGAAGAAGUAAUAGAAUUAAAACAAAACCCUUGGAAUAUUGGAAGGAUGAAAGGCCCUUGCAUGCAUGAGUUCAUAACACGUGUUUUAUCCUCAAAAUAAAUGCUUUUACUUUCGACAUUUUACAUGAUCCAUCGUGAUUUAAACUUUGACUUUAGCAAAUUUGAUCCGUUUACUUUUACACGGAUCGAUGUAGGUUAUGUUAAAUAUCUAACGGGUCAAACGCGUAUAAUAAUAAACAAACAUGUCUAAAUUUGCUUAAUUCGCUAUAAUUAGUUCUUGGCUUUCUGUUUUUGAGGUUUAGGAUUAGCAAAAGUGUUGUUGACAAAAUCAUAGCUUAAAGAAUGUUUUUAUAUAUUUUGUAUUUGCUUUUAUUAGAAAACUCAGAGAUAUGGCCUGCAUUGUUUUGUCUUUAGAUAUAAGACUUUUGACAUUUAAUUUUGUUCUAAGACCUUGAUAUUAUUAUUCUCUUUAAAUUUAACAAUUCUUUGAUUAGGGAUGAGCUCGGUACCAGUACUAAAAAACGUCAAAUAUGAAUACCAGGACGGUACCAAUAUUUGAAGGUAAAAUUCGGUAAAAUACCGGUACCGUACUGGUACCGAAAAUGCCAAAAAGUGGGUAUCAAAUCGAUACCAAAAAUAAUUCGGUACGGGAAAUUAAGUACCGGUACUGGUACCCGGUACUAGAUGCUCAUUCCUAACUUCGACCACAAAGUUGUAGUUGUGCUAACAAACCAUUAAUUGUUUCAUUUAUGAGGUUUUAGAUAAUUGUUCAGAUUUUUAUCUUUUGCUCAUUGUAGGGAUGUAGUUUUUGAAGUUGGACCGGCUUCAUGAAUCUUAAUAAAGAUUCCCUCACAUACUUAAAGGUACAUUAUGCUUAACAGGUGUUGUGCAAAUUUCUCUAUGUUUAUUACUUGGGUUUGCAAGAACAAAAUCUUGGUUGAUGUUUUGACCUUCACAGUUUGCUUUCUUAUAUAUAUAUUUUUUGUCAAUCUUUUUUAUUUAUGUUUAUGAUUUCAUCAUCCAAAGUUCAAAUAUUGAUAAACAUAAUCUAUCUUGGAUGAAGCACAGUUCAUCAUUUUCCUUGCAUUUUUAUUUUUUCUCACUUAUCAUUUACUUCUUUGAACGGCUGAAGCAGAUCUACCGAUGUAAACUUAUCUAUUCUUGUGGGAGAUUAUGAUCCAUUUUAAAUAUUAGUGAGUUUUGUUUUAUUUGAAAAUAUAUGUUUAGGUCGGAUUGUGAUAAGGGAUGAGCUUUACCGAAAAUUUCGGUACCAAAACCCACUAAAUAUGGGUACCGUUUUCGAAAAUGUUCGGUACGGUAUCAGUACCGGUAUUUGAAGGUAAAAUUUAGUAAAAUACCAGUACCGAAAUCGCCAAAAAGUGUGUACCGAGUUGGUACUGAAAAUAAUUCGGUACGGGAAUUUUUUUAUUUUGUCUCACUUAUCAUUUACUUCUUUGCACUCUUUAGUUUUUUCCAGAAAACUUUGACCCAGGAAUGUAUGCUGGCCCAAUUGGGUUGUUUGGAGGAGGGAGUGAGUUUGUUGUUAGUAUAAGGUCGGCCUUGGUUCAAAAGCUUGGGGCAUUAACCUAUGUUGGAACUGGGAUAGUGGAAGGACUAUGUCGGAACUGCGAUAGUGGAAAGUUGUAUUCUUAGAUGCACAUGUGUGAGGGUCUAAAGCACCUUUACUUCAUAAAUAUUUGUCAGUUAAUGUAUUAUUUGUAUUGUAUUGAUUUUUAAGAGUUUAAUUUUCUUAAGAUGUUUUCUGUGUGCAA